GGUUAUAGCUCAGUGGCAGAGCGCUUGCCUCACACAUGUGAGCACUGGGUUCGAUCCUCAGCACCA
rnacentral:tRNA from 1 species